ACAUGCCCUGUGCACACGUAUUACACACAAAGGCACACCACCUACCUAAAUAGACAGCAUGAAUGGACACACUCUUUAGACGUGAUUAUGAGGACUCCUUAUCCACUGCAGUCUCACACCACAGACAUCAACACACAUGGGCACAAAAGAUGCAUAAGCGUAGUUUAUUUCAUGUAUUUAUUCUUGGCAGGAUUUACUCUGCGCCAGGCGUUUCCCAAGAUUUACAGUAUUACCUUCCAAUCAUUACAACAGCCCCCAAGACAGGUUCUUUUUUCAUGCCCAAUGUAUAGGUAAGGAAACUGAGGCACAGAGAGGGGCAGUCACCUGCCCCAUGCACAGAACAGGGGAUAGGCAGAGGUAAGGCUGGAACCUGGCCGUCAGGGACACCGACACAUCAGACAAGACACACACACACACACACAUCACGUGCCAGGCUGCAGUCUCGGGGUCCCACCCUACGCGGCGGCACACAGAACUGCAGACACACCCGGAAGCGCGGACUGCCGCCCUCGGCGAGGAUGUCUCCAUGGUCCAGGAAUACCUGCGACUCGUCCCCUCAAUGAGGCUGGACCAGAGCUGCGCGCGCAGCACGGCUCACUGGGGGCACGGGGAGGAGGGGAAGCCUCGCGGGGGGCUCACUGGAGAAACUGAGGCAGGAUCAUCGUGGAAUGGAAGUUCAGAAAGGUACAGGGAAUGGGAUUGCAGUGACCGGGGAGUGAGCACGCAAAGCGGACCCCCUGACUGAAGAACCAGAGCCUGGAGAAAGAGAAGCUCACAGGGAGUCGUGGGCCCGCGCAGAGUCUUCUGGGAAAUGCAGUCCUUGUUGGUCUAGCGAGGAGGCUUAGGUUGUCCGUUGCGCCACCUGCGGGGGUUUUAGCCUGAGGGUGACAGGCCGGGCGGGCACUGGCUACCAGUAAUGAGGGCGGGAAGAUUGACGCCGCCGUUUGUUCAUAAGUUCACUCAACAAAUGUUUACUUUUGAGUAUUUGAAUGUGGUUGGCUCAGCGGUGUGCCAGGAGUCAGGACUGCUGGAAGAAGCCGGCUAUGAUGUCCAGCUCUUUAAUCACCACCAAAGUUUUGUGUGGAUUUGCUUUGUCGAGACGGAGUCUCACUGUAUCCCAGCGCUACUGGAACUUACUCUAGCUCUGGACGUCCACGAACAAUCUUCUGGCCUCAGGCUCUUGAGUGCUUGGAUGACAGGAUGGAGUAAGGUAGAGCCAGCAGAGUGCACCUCCUGAAGAGAACAUGCUAAGAAUUUUCUUGAGGCUGUGUUCAGAAUCCAAACCCUAGGACCAGAAAACUUCUUUGUCCCAGUACACGUGUGCCUGCCCAGAGCUCUGACAUGGGCAUCUAGACCACACCUGUGGACCAUUCAACUGUGUGUUUAGGACAUAUUUUGUUACCAGUUUUAUAAUAAAACUUUGUCAG